ensembl:lncRNA C19orf48P multidrug resistance-related protein
AAUGGCGCGUGCUGCAACCCGCGCCCGCUUCGGAGAGAGAAAUGCUGGGAGACAGGGUUUCACCAUAUUGGCCAGGCUGGUCUCGAACUCCUGACUUCGUGAUCUGCCCACCUCGGCUUCCCAAAGUGCUGAGGUUGCAGGCGUGAGCCACCGUGCCCGGCCGCGUUUCCUACUCUUUAAGCUCUGUUAGCUUGGCCUCUGUCCCUGAAGGUGCAGCUUCAAGCUUAGGACCACCCACCAUGCCUAUCCAGGUGCUGAAGGGCCUGACCAUCACUCAUUAAGAACAGAGGAGGCUGCCUGUUACUCCUGGUGUUGCAUCCCUCCAGACACUCUGCUGUUUCCUGCCUAGGCGUGGCUGCAGCCAUGGCUAGGAAAGCGCUGCCACCCACCCACCUGGGCCAGAGCUGGUUCUGCUCCUGCUGCAGGGACACUGAGCUGGCUAUCUCGGCGCUUCGGGCAAGAACUGCAACAGGCUCUCCUGGGUCCUGCAGGUGUACAGCCGGGCCCCUGCCUUGUGCCUCAGCUCUCGAGAGCUGCUGCUGCCGGGUGACCUGAUCCAACCUGAUAAGGUGCCAUCUUCAGCUACCACUGCAAGGCCCUGAGGGCAACAGCAGCACGGCACUGCCCACCCGGCUGCUGAUGGCCUGGUGCCAGCUGGGAGUCCUCCCGGCACUUCGAGGCCACUGAGCCACCCUUCCAGCCCCAGCCCACCAUGGACAGGGGUAUCCAGCUUCCUCCUCAACCUCGUCCUCUGCCCCUGAGCCAGUGACGCCCAAGGACAUGCCUGUUACCCAGGUCCUGUACCAGCACUAGCUGGUCAAGGGCAUGACAGUGCUGGAGGCCGUCUUGGAGAUCCAGGCCAUCACUGGCAGCAGGCUGCUCUCCAUGGUGCCAGGGCCCGCCAGGCCACCAGGCUCAUGCUGGGACCCAACCCAGUGCACAAGGACUUGGCUGCUGAGCCACACACCCAGGAGAAGGUGGAUAAGUGGGCUACCAAGGGCUUCCUGCAGGCUAGGGGAGGAGCCACCCCCGCUUCCCUAUUGUGACCAGGCCUAUGGGGAGGAGCUGUCCAUACGCCACCGUGAGACCUGGGCCUGGCUCUCAAGGACAGACACCGCCUGGCCUGGUGCUCCAGGGGUGAAGCAGGCCAGAAUCCUGGGGGAGCUGCUCCUGGUUUGAGCUGCAUUCAGGAAGUGCGGGACAUGGUAGGGGAGGCAAAAAGCCUUGGGCACUACCCUCCCUGUGGAGCUGUUCGGUGUCCGUCGAGCUAGCCACACCCUGACACCAUGUUCAAGGGUACCGGAAGAGAAGGGUGUCUGCCCCCAACCUCCCCUGUGGGUGUCACUGGCCAGAUGUCAUGAGGGAAGCAGGCCUUGUGAGUGGACACUGACCAUGAGUCCCUGGGGGGAGUGAUCCCCCAGGCAUCGUGUGCCAUGUUGCACUUCUGCCCAGGCAGCAGGGUGGGUGGGUACCAUGGGUGCCCACCCCUCCACCACAUGGGGCCCCAAAGCACUGCAGGCCAAGCAGGGCAACCCCACACCCUUGACAUAAAAGCAUCUUGAAGCUUUUACUCCG